UUCUUGUGUCUGAACAAUUACAGCCAACCUGAAAAAAUGUCACACGUGUUUUGUGCUUUAGGAAGUUAUAAUAUGAGUCUAAACUGUUAGCAUGAUGUUAACUCUAAACUGCUGGAUGAUACAAGUUUGUUAAAAUGGUAGGAGUGGGGUAAUUUGAGCUGAAAGUCCUGGGGGUUGCGGGGAGCUGGAGCCUAACCCAGCGUCUUGAGCCACAGGUGGGGAAACUCCCUGGAUGUAUAGUCAAAUGUCUGUCUCUUGGCCUAGAGAGGGACAACUGUGUGGUGCUUAUAGAUCUCUGGUCACUUCCUCCCCAUAUGGAUCAGCUCAGAUACAGCUGCUCUGAGGCACCAUGUGUCUGGUGUUGGAUGACUCUGCUGAAUCUUGCUCCGCUCCCUGAAUCUUUCACAUAAUUGGGUCUCAUUUCUGUAACUGAAUAAAAUCCGGUACACUCCUCUGCCAUGCAAGUGCAGAAACAUGGCUGACAAGCCCAACCUGACGGAAAUCACAUCCUUUGAUAAAACCAAACUCAGGAAGACAGAGACCCAAGAAAAAAAUCCCUAGCCUACCAAAGAAACUAUUGAACAGGAGAGGCAGGGAGAGUCCACGCCUUGAAUGCUGCUUUUAACCGCAGUCACACACAGCAGAGAGUGAAGGGAAUGACUGAAAUCCACAGGAGAGGGACUUUGGGAGGAAUUGAACCAGUAACUGAUGUGUCAUUUGUUUCAUGGUUUAGUUUGUUUGUUCGAGAACUAAAUAAAAAGAAAU